rnacentral:misc_RNA from 1 species
UCUCCGUAGGUGAACCUGCGGAGGGAUCAUUACAGAGUUUUCCAAACUCCCAAACCCAUGUGAACUUACCAUUGUUGCCUCGGCGGAGCCUACCCUGUAGCUACCCUAUAAGGUGGUUACCCUGUAACGCACUGCCGGUGGACUUUUAAACUCUUGUUAUUUUAUAGUAAUCUGAGCGUCUUAUUUUAAUAAGUCAAAACUUUCAACAACGGAUCUCUUGGUUCUGGCAUCGAUGAAGAACGCAGC